rnacentral:rRNA from 1 species
UACGAAGGGGGCUAGCGUUGCUCGGAAUCACUGGGGCGUAAAGGGUGCGUAGGCGGGUCUUUAAGUCAGAGGUGAAAUCCUGGAGCUCAACUCCAGAACUGCCUUUGAUACUGAAGAUCUUGAGUUCGGGAGAGGUGAGUGGAACUGCGAGUGUAGAGGUGAAAUUCGUAGAUAUUCGCAAGAACACCAAUGGCGAAGGCGGCUCACUGGCCCGAUAUUGACGCUGAGGCACGAAAGCGUGGGGAGCGAACAGG